UGGUAGGAAGGGUCUUACUGCCGAUGGUGAGGUCGAUGCAGAGAGCGCCGCGAGCGUUUGACACGUUGCCCUCGAAGUCUUUGAGCAUCAUGUCUGUCUUGGUCAAGUCGUCGUCGCUUUUCCCAAGCUUCCGGAGUACGGCGUACGGCAUGAUGUUGACUGCAGCUCCUCCGUCUACCAUCAGUCUAGUGAGGGGGCGGCCGUCAACAUGCCCUUUAAGGAACAGCGCCUUCAUGUGUUGUCGUUCGUCAUCUUCGGGCUUCUCGAAUGUGGCCAUCAUUGGCUCCAAAGCCAACU
rnacentral:lncRNA from 1 species